GAUGAACGCUAGCGGCAGGCCUAACACAUGCAAGUCGAGGGGUAACUAGAGUGAUAGCAAUAUUACUUUGGCUAGACCGGCGCACGGGUGCGUAACACGUAUGCAACCUACCUUAUACUGGGGAAUAACUUCGAGAAAUCGGCGCUAAUACCCCAUAACAUUGCGAAGAGGCAUCUCUUUGUAAUUAAAGCUCCGGCGGUAUAAGAUGGGCAUGCGUCCAAUUAGCUAGUUGGUGAGGUAACGGCUCACCAAGGCUACGAUUGGUAGGGGUUCUGAGAGGAUGAUCCCCCACACUGGUACUGAGACACGGACCAGACUCCUACGGGAGGCAGCAGUGAGGAAUAUUGCGCAAUGGACGAAAGUCUGACGCAGCCAUGCCGCGUGCAGGAUGACGGCCCUAUGGGUUGUAAGCUGCUUUUGUACGGGAAUAAACCCUUCUACGUGUAGGAGGCUGAAGGUACCGUAAGAAUAAGCACCGGCUAACUCCGUGCCAGCAGCCGCCGCUG
rnacentral:rRNA from 1 species